AUGUUGGGAGACUUCAAUGAAAUUUUACUAUCUUCGGAGAAGGAGGGAGGCCCUCCUCGCCAACAUGUAUGAAUGAAGGCUUUCCAGGAUGCCCUGUCAGACUGUGCUUUGGAAGAUAUGGGUUAUGUCGAAGAUAAAUUCACUUGGUUCAGAGGUGGACUCAAGGAGAGGCUGGACCGAGCGGUAACAAAUGCAGACUGGAUGAACAUGCACCCAUUGGCAGGGUUAUGUAAUCUUGAGAUGGGGAAAUCUGAUCACCGCCCCAUCUUAUUGGAUACUGAAUAUCUUUCAGAUGCUUCUGCUGGUCGGUGCAAGGUGGCUCGCCGGUUUGAAGCACGAUGGCUGGAAGAAGAACUAGUCGAGGAGAUCAUCAAAACAGCAUGGCAGAAGGCGAUUCAUAGAGGGCUUUGUCCUUUGAUCAAAGACAAAGUGGAGGCUGUUCAUAGUGAUCUGCAUGCAUGGGAUAGACGAGUGCUCAAGGGGCCUCGCAACAGGUUGAAACAGGCCCAACAAGAUCUGGAAAAGGUGAUGAGGCAAGAAUAUACGGAACAGAGCCGAAUAAAACAAAAGGACCUCUCUGUUCUCAUUGAAAAUUUACUUGAUGAAGAAGAGAUCUUUUGGGCCCAACGAGGCAGGGUUAGAUGGCUACGCCGAGGUGAUAGAAACUCUAAGUACUUUAAUUAG
rnacentral:rRNA from 1 species